AACGCACAUUGCGCCCUGUGGUAUUCCGCAGGGCAUGCCUGUUCGAGCGUCAUUUAGACCAUUCACGCGUAGCGUGGUAUUGGGGCACGCGGUUCCGCGGCCCUCAAAAUCAGUGGCGGCGCCGGUAGGCCCUAAGCGUAGUAAAUUUCCUCGCUAUAGGGUCCUCUCGGUGGCUCGCCAGAACCCCCAACUUCUGAAGGUUGACCUCGGAUCAGGUAGGGAUACCCGCUGAACUUAA
rnacentral:misc_RNA from 1 species